GACAGAGGGUGCAAACGUUGUUCGGAAUUACUGGGCGUAAAGCGCGUGUAGGCGGCUAUGCAAGUCGGAUGUGAAAGCCCUCGGCUCAACCGGGGAAGUGCUUUUGAUACUGCAGAGCUUGAAUGUGGGAGAGGGUAGUGGAAUUCCAGGUGUAGUGGUGAAAUACGUAGAUAUCUGGAGGAACACCGGUGGCGAAGGCGGCUACCUGGCCCAACAUUGACGCUGAGACCCGAAAGCAUGGGGAUCAAACAGG
rnacentral:rRNA from 1 species